UAGGAAUCUGACAGAAAUUUGUCCUCAGUUUACAAUGAAUCUUUGUGGUAGCUAAUCCUCAGCAGUGAAAAUGUUCAGUGUACAGAAUGGUUAAAUAGAAGCUUAUCUCCCUUUCUGUGCCUUUAUCUUCAUUAUCACUUUAAGACAGAUCCUUUCGGAAGAUCUUCAAGGUUCCUAGCAAAGGUAACCAAAAUGUCAAUAAAGCACCUAACAAAUUAAAGAAAACCAAACUGUCUAUAGAUUUAAAGUUUUAAGAUGUAGCAAAUGCCUAAUUCCUUUGGAAGGAAAGGCAUCCUUUUACAUUCAGCGACACAAGCCCUUUUUUUGAUAGAAACUAAUCUCACCAAAGAAAACGCUGAAAUUUGAGGCUGCAGGUUUCAUACUAUCAUCUGCAGAAUUUGGCAACCUCAAGUGAGUCUGCCAUAGGCAAUUGGAUUUUUAUUUUCUCCAGCUAGGGCCAUUCAGAAUGCUCCAAACCUUUAGCACAAUGCAAUUUUAAAACUGUAAUACAAAUAUUUAAAGGAACUCAGAACCCAGCUUCCUUGCAUCUGUUUCCAAAGGAAAAGUAUAAAAUCUGAGUGUGGCUUGAUAAUGGGUGGCUUCUUAAUUAAUUUCAAUGCAAACUGCCCAAAAUCCAGGAUGAAUUGCUUCGUGGGAUGUGCUAUAGGUAUUUAUUGGCUCCCCUACACAAGAAGAUCCAUUUUCUACUAAGACUGUGUACACGAUAAUUAAAGUGCACGGUUUCGCCCAAAGAAUCCUAAAAUUUGACGUUUGUUCAAGGUGCAGAGAAUUGUUGUUCUGCCACCGUUAAACUACAGUUUCCAGAAAUCUUUGGAUUAAGUCAUGUGCUUUAAAGGUAUGGUGUGUACACAGCCUUACUUUCUAACAUCACUGUAAACCAUGGGUAGGCAAACUAAGGCCCGGGGGCCGGAUCAGGCCCAAUCGCCUUCUAAAUCCAGCUCACAGAUGGUCCGGGAAUCAGCAUGUUUUUACAUGAGUAGAAUGUGUGCUUUUAUUUAAAAUGCAUCUUUGGGUUAUUUGUGGGGCCUGUCUGGUGUUUUUACAUGAGUAGAAUGUGUGCUUUUAUUUAAGAGCCAGUGUGGUCUAGUGGUUAAGAGCGGUAGACUUGUAAUCUGGUGAACAGGGUUCACGUCCCUGCUCCUCCACAUGCAGCUGCUGGGUGACCUUGGGCUAGUCACACUUCUCUGAAGUCUCUCAGCCCCACUCACCUCAAAGAAUGUUUGUUGUGGGGGAGGAAGCGAAAGGAGAAUGUUAGCCACUUUGAGACUUCUUCGGGUAGUGAUGAAGCGGGAUAUCAAAUCCCAAAUCCUCCUCCUCCUCCUCCUCCUCAAUGCAUCUCUGGGUUAUUUGUGGGGCAUAGGAAUUCAUUCAUUAUUUUUUCUUUCAAAAUAUAGUCUGGCCCCCCACAAGGUCUGAGGGGCAGUGAACCGGCCCCCUGCUGAAAAAGUUUGCUGACCCCUGUUGUAAACUGUGGAGAGGGCUAAGGACCCUGACCCCAGUCUCCCCAUGACUGCCAGCUCUACUGCGGUGCUUGACUGAUAAUUCAGGAUUCCUGAUCAUGGAGGCAGGGAGGGGCAGACAAAAGUUGGGAAUGGAGAGGGUGGUGCCAUUGUGCACAGGGAUGUUGGAGGCAGGGGUAAUGUGCACACCCCUAGCUUAUUGCCCACAUUCAGGUUGCAUACCUCAAGUGGGCUUAAGCACGCAGUUGUUGAACAUGCUUUGCAGUCAUUAGCUCAGCUUCUGUGAUGUCAUGGAAUGGUUAUAAAGCCUGUAAAUGGUUCCAUAGCUUAUAGAUCAGCGAUAUAUUUCCAUGCUUCUUCCCACCAAAAACACUCACAGCAAUUUUUCAUUGAUUUUGAUUGUGGUAGGCAGCUGAGUGGGUUUCCCUGAGUGAACAGGGAAAAGGAAUUUGUGGAAAUAGUUAUAAUCAACACUUUUGAUGAAAUGUGGGUCAGUGCUUCAUUUUUUAAAUAAUGUUGAAUUAUAAAGCUGUAUAUCUGUUUACCCAAAGGUAUAUUUCUCUAUAUACUCAUAGCCAGGCUUCCUCAACCUCAGCCCUCCAGGUGUUUUUGGUCUACAUCUCCCAUGAUCCCUAGCUAGCAGAACCAGUGGUCAGGGAUGAUGGGAAUUGUAGUCUCAAAACAUCUGGAGGGCCGACGUUGAGGAAGCCUGCUCAUAGCUAUAAUAUAUGCUUAACGUUUACUUGCACUGAUAUCAGAACUUGUUUUUCACCUGUUGUUCUUAAGAGAGGGAGAGAGAGAAUCAAUUUGCAUAAGUUUGGUUUUGGCUGUUGCUUUUUAUUAGUUGAUGUAGUCUCCUAGGUUCCCAAAGGUUUGAAAAUUUCAAAAAGUGCUGUCAAAAUUGCUUCAAUACUUUGUAACUGGCAAAAAGCUGAAACUGUUUUGUGUAGGGGGGCAGUUGAAGGAGAGGGAGGAGUUAGCAACAUCUUGAAUUAAAACAGGAGAGUUCGCCUACAUAAGGAAUGCCAGAAUGAUCUGUUCACUUGGAGUUAAUUGAAAAAUGGAUAGCAAGCAGUUUUUCCUGGGUUUUUUUCCAGAAGACUUUCUAAAGCCAUCACUAUAAAUUAUCAGAAUACUUCUAGGCAAUGGCCAGUGAAUUAGAACUAAGCUGUAACAUUGCAUCAUCUAUAUAGUUGUAAAAUAGAUUUAACAGAAGCCAGAAAUAAAUCAUUGACAAAUAAAUCCAAUAAACAUGGUCUGAAUAUUGAACCUUGGCGGACACCGCUGUCCAUUUCAGCCAAGCCAGAUUUCUUGCCCAGUACAAAUUUCUGAGUUCUUUUUUAAACAGUUAUGCUUCUAAGAUAAGUGACUUAUCCUCAAGAGCAUCAUAUUUUUAUCUUCGCUAAUCAGCAUCCUACAGCCAAUCAAAUCAAAUGCUUUUGUAAAAAUGAAAAAAAAAAUCAAAUCAAACCAAAUGGCUCAGCACCACUGAACACUCACUGCCCGGUAGUAAAUAUUCAUGUUAUAUUCAUUGAGAAAUGUUGAAAAUGUGCUUGGGUAGCUAAACCUGCUUAGAUUUGGCACUCUAUCUGAGGACAAACUAGUAUCCUGCUUUGAAGCAGGGGCUUCCAAUAAAUGUUAGAUGCUGGGCUUAAUAUUAGUUCUGUGCACCUAUCUUUGCUUGUCUUUUUGCAGGGUAUAAAGAGUAGGGACCUGUCUCACUGAUUUGGCUUGUAUUCAGACAGGGGCAUAUUAUGCUAUCUGAAUGCAGCUUUAAAUAUUAUUAUUAUUAUUAUUAUUAUUAUUAAUAAUAAUAAUAUAAUAUAUAUAUUAAUUCAUCAAUAAUAAUAAAGCUUUACCCUCUGAGUCAUCUGAAUUAGAUGCUCCUUGUUUACUUUUAAUAAUAAUAAUAAUAAGCAACUGGGAGCCGCUUUCUCUUUCCUCUUAGCAGAGCUCUGUGAACCUGCCCCACGGAGCAAGCAGUUUCUGCUCUGUCUCUCUUUCGAUCUCUCUCGCUCUCACUCUCUCCUUGCUCCAAUCACAAGGACUGUAAUAAAUGAUGUCAGAGGUUUUUGCCCAAUUCCAGCUCUCCUGCCAUCUAACAGAUGGAGCCAGUGUGGUGUAGCGGUUAAGAGCAGUGGACUCGUAAUCUGGGGAACUGGGUUCACGUCUCUGCUCCUCCACAUGCAGCUGCUGGGUGACUUUGGGCUAGUCACACUUCUCUGAAGUCUCUCAGUCCCACUCACCUCACAGAGUGUUUGUUGUCGGGGAGGAAGGGAAAGGAGAAUGUUAGCCGCUUUGAGACUCCUUCAGGUAGUGAUAAAGCAGGAUAUCAAAUCCAAACUCUUCUUCCAAACAACCCUUUUACAAGUUCAUUUACAUGGCUUGUUGGGAAACAAAGUUCAAAUGUGGAAAAGAAAGGCAGGCAGCCAUGUCCAUCAACUUUGCCGUCCCCCUCAAAUAUUUUAUUGGGGGGAGGGCAAAGGGAUCUGGACCCUUAUAAGUUCACACCUAUGAAGGGGUUUAAGGAACUUAACAUUCUUUAGAUUAUAGUCAUUGGAACCAGCAGGAGUGACCAGCACUGUGAGCUGGUGCCACAGAACCACCUUCCUGACACUGGUAUUAUCACUAAUUCUGUGGCAGGAUGGGGUGACAAAGUUGGGGUUGCAUGGGCACAUCAGUACAGACAGUUUGGUUCUCCUGCUAGUGCACUCAUGCAGCCCUAACCUUACCAGUAUGUUGACCUGUGGUAAGCAUCAGCAAAGCUAGUGUCAGGAAGGUGACUCCAGCCUAAAAUCCAGUUUGUGUGCCAGUUCAUGUACCCACAAUGACUUGAAGGGGUGCAUGUUCUGCAGCAGGUAACAGAAAAUGGUGGGGGCUGCCAGUGGCCCUGAAGCAUCUAUUUUUAUGGCAGCAUUAAGCCCCCUCCCCCAUCAUUGCUUUUUGCAACAAAUAUAAAAACUGUAUUGAAUGCAUAUAUGCAAAUACAUAGCUUGGAAGCAUGACAAUCUAUUGUUAAAGGAUUAAAUUGCUGCACUGAAGAGCUCUCACAUGAGAAGAGUCUUUUACAGAUCUCUCUGAAAUAACCUAAUGGCAGUAGUCAUUACUAGGCUUCUAACAGGAAGCCAAGGUGUUACCUUGUGGCUCAACAUGCAGCAAAACAUGAUAUUCCACUGAGAUUUAAGCUUUUAUUUCUCCAAGCAAAAUCUUAUUUCAGAUUAAGACAUUUAUAAUGCGGGUAGUCCAGUUAGCAUUAACAUUUUUAUUAGCUAUGUAGGCUAUCUAUAGGCUAUAGGUGACCUUUGGCAACCAAGUGUUCUUUAAACAGCUGGCAAUAUCAUAAAGCAAUAUCAGCCAAUCAUAAAAACAUGCACUUGAUUAUUUUUUCCAAGAUGAACUCAAUCAAUAUACCAUCACCUUGAUGGUUAAGGAUGUCUUUGCAGGCUGUGUAAUAACAACCAGGCUGCUUCCUUAUGCACACUUCUUGGGGAGCAAGUCUGAGUAAACAUCUCUAGGACUGAGCUGCAAAAGAGAGUUGCUAUCAAAUCCAACAAGUAGGAGCAAAUGUUUGUGAAUUUUACUUUCUGAUUCUUCUGUUACUUAACACACUUUGUAUAUUAAAUUCCUUUACUACUUGUAAUAAUAGUGUAAGAAGAGUAAAAUUCAACAGCUACCCAGAGAAGCAGGGUGAGUGGGAAGAUGCCAAGAUCAUUGCCAAGGUUUUUGAUGGCCUCUUGAAAAAUUAGAACAGGGAGUAUUAGAAACUGUGACCAUCCAGGUAUUGCCAAACUGCAAACCCAUAAUCUGCAUUCUUGAUCAUUGACUAUGCUGGUUGAGGAAGAUGGGAGCUGUGCUCUAGUAUCCAAUCAGCCACCCCUGUGUUAGAACAAGGAACCAUUUCAAUGACUCUCCUAACCAUCUUGAAAAUAGGUGGAGUUUAGAGCUGAACACAAAAUGUAUAAUUCUAAUCUGAAUGUGCUUACCAAACUAUCACAUUGCACCAUCUUUUAUAUUUUCCACAAACUCUUUAAAUAUACGCAUAUGGUCUGAACCAAAGACACAUCUUUGAAAUGCAUAAUUUUAUUCUGAAGGAGCAUACUAAUUUUUAUUCAGUUGACUCAAUCUUUAGAGCUGAUCUCAUGAUACGCUAUUGUUCUCUCUCUCUUCCUCACUUUUCAAAAUGGCAUUUGAAACUAUUCAGAAAUGGUGACCUGAGGAUGUGUGACAACUUUUAUUCAAAUAUUGCAAAAGUCAGCUGAGAAAGAAACAAACUGCCUGACAGACUUCCCAAUGGAAUGCUGAAUCUUCAUUUUGGACCCAAAACUUCAUUUCCCCCCCAAACCCCAACAAUUAAGAUCCAUUAGCUAUACAAAUGAGCACGAACAUUCCUAGAUGUGGGUUAUUAGAUUAUAACUAUAGGGGUGUUCAGAUUACAUUCAAGAAGGUACAAUCUAUGUACCUCUGUAUGUAUGCAACACUUCUAAAUCAGCAGGUGUACAUUGUCUCACACAAACACUUGCACUUGUGUUGGGUCAGAUUGUACCUGUGAUCAGUGUGUUAACAGGCUGGAUCUCUCAAGUGGUGAGCGUCACUUGAAUCAGAGCCAAAAUGAGGUCCUUGGGAAAUAAAAGGUGGUACCAGCAAGCUAGACAGAACUCUUAAGUUUGCAAAACUCUCAAGUAUCUUUUCUCAAAAACAACCAACCAACCACCACCACCAAAUCAGGGCACCCUUCUCAAAAAGAUUCCAAGAAGGAUUACACCCAAAGCAGACAACAAGCACCUCUUAAGUCUUAGCUUUUCGCAAGUGCAAAAACUAUAACACUCAAACAAUAUAAUGCUAUAAUGCUGCUGUGUCCCCUCAGUGCACUGAUACCCUAUGGCAGGCUUCCUCAACCUCAUUGGCCUACAACUCCCAUGAUCCCUAGCUAGCAGGACCAGUGGUCAGGGAUGAUGGGGAAUUGUAGUCUCAAAACAUCUGGAGGGCCGAGGUUGAGGAAGCCUGCCGUAUGGCCUUUUGGAGAGUUACUGCAAGGAAACGCUCAGUGUUCUUGUGGCAUUCCCUACCACCCAUCCUUUUUUUUUUUUGGUAGUGUUUUACAUUCCCAUGUAGUACAAGUAUGCAUCCAAUUUAGAUGCAUCCUGGAUCAAAAUGGGUUGCUUUAGAGGGAUUUGGAGCCUGCUGGAGGGUAUAAGGUGGUGUGAAUCAAUGUGGGGAGUGUCAGGAAGCCAAGUGAAUGCUUCACCCUACCAUGCCAUCUGCUUGGCAGAGAUAAUCAAAGGAUGGGCACCUUUGCUUGGAAUUAACAAGAAGCAUAUAUAUAUAUAUAUAUAUAUAUAUAUAUGUCACUAUGUUACACACAAUAAGCAAUCAGCAGGUAGGGUCCUCAUGUGUGAUGAUCUAUAUCAACAGUUCAUGAUCAUUCCCAUAUGGAAGUGCCAUCUACUUAGGAAUGUAUUACAUGUGAAAUUGUCUUACUACCCGACAUUUAAAAUUCAGAUUUCUUUGUAUACUUGUCAAUGCCUCUCUCACUUCAUUAGAACCAAUAUCAAAAUUCUGGCUGAUGCUAAAAGAGCGGGCUUGUAGAUUGUAGCUUUGUUUUCAGCGUUUUGAAAUCUAUUUUAACAGUUUCAAAAGUGGAGGCAAAGUCAGUUAUUUAGAGACCCAAUUUCAGCUGCAGGUCUGGAUGAUUUGCCAAAUCUAGACUUAUACGCUGCAAAAGAAAACAAUUUAUUGCCAUUCUUUGAUAAGCAUAAAGAAUGCUAAAAUGGAUUAAAGUGUUCCUUCCAAUUAAAGAGAGAUUUACCAUGGGCCAUUCUUGUGGGCGUCCUUUAAAACGAUCCGCAGCCUAAGUAUUAUGGAUGGGAAACACAAUGCAUUUUCAAAUGCUAUUCAGUAUAGGAUGCCUUUAUUACAGAGGUUUAACAUGUUAAAUGCAGUUUUGGCUGAUGUGAAAGAACACUGUAGGAGCCUUCUAAUGGAUUUCAGAUAGACAGAGGCCAAAAUCCUUCCAUGAGUUACUAGAGACCUGAAAACCUGGUUCAGCCUUCAGACAAUUCAAUAUCACAUGCUAUUUUUAUGUCCUGCGCUUCCUGAAUGCAUUUAUCAUCUAUCUGGGGGCAGGGAGCACUAUUUACAAUGAAACAAUAAGAUAAGCGUCAUAUUUGCAUUUAUUGCUUUGAGAUGAACAGAGUAGGCUUUUUUUUUUUUUAAAAAAAAAAGUAAAAUAAACCCUGAUUUGAGAUGCUUCCUGGCAUAUAUAUAUUUAAAACUUUAAGUUUUGUUAUUGACAUUAAGAAGAUACCUCCUACCCAAUUAAGAAGUUUGGGCUCACUGUGGAUUCAGCCUUCUGCAGGGAUAAGGCACCAGUUGGGACCCAGACGCUGUUGGAUCUCAAUGGUUUCCUAAACUUUCCUAAACAGAAAAUGAAAUUUUCUGUUCACAUGGCUGGCCCCCAUUUCCAAGUCCUGAGCCAUAGUUCAGCAUUACCUUUUAGGGUUCGGCAAACACAUGAGGUGGGUGCAAUGACAGCAAUGAUGAACAUCUUGCCAACAUGCACAUUUUAGAAUCCAGGAAAAGCAGGGUCCUAAAACUCAUAGGAAGCCUUCCUUAGUACAGGAGACUCCCUACUUCACCAGGUCACCCUCUGCAAGUUGGAGGGCUAUAAAAAUAAGAAGUGGGGUACAGCUGGUUAGCUGAUCCUCACUGCCUCUACUUCCAUCUUUGCUGAACUCUAAAAGGCAAUGACUGAGCAGGGCUCUGCUCGGUCUUUGAUAUAUGGAGAGAACCAGGUGGGAUGGACAUGAUCAAUAGUACCCUGUCCCACGAAAUAAAGCCUAAUUUUUUCAUGACUGAGGCAUUUCCUUGCUUCUCCUUCUUUUCUAUGUCUUUUCACAUUGCUGCUGUUUUUAAAUGGUGCUUCUAGAUUUAUCUGUUGAUUUUGUGUUCAAAUUGUUCUGAUGUGUCUUAACACCUUAAUGAGAUCUUUUAAACUGAAAGGUAGGGUAAAAUAAGCAAAUAAAAUAUAUGAAUAAAUUAACACAUUAUUAAAUAAGCCACUUAUUAUAAACAAUGAUAUGGUUAACAUGACUAUUUGAUCUAGAAAAUAUAGAAAAUAAUAUAAAUAUUGCUGUGUUGCUGGUAAGAGGAACCAGAAAUCAAUUUUAUCUCUUUGAGGAAAAUGUACAUCUCUUGACAUUUUAGCUUAAGACAUUGGCAAUAAGUUCACAUUCGUGUGACAGCACAGUUCACAUUGAUGUAAGCAAUUCAUUCCUUGUGUCAGUGCAAAUUUAAUAAAACUUUCAGUGUAAUAAACAAAAACAAAAGGAGCAAAUGAAGCCCCAGUGACAGUUCUUAGUAAAUGUUGCUUUGUAGGUCUUAACAAGUAAGUCAGGAUUUCGUGGGUAGGGGAGAAGUCUAUACUUCCAACUGGAAGCAAGACAGGAUUUUAUUUCAGUUGUCAUUAAUAGGUAACAUUAUUUUUUCAGUUCUGGAUGUUUCACAAAAGGAGCCCACGGAACAAAACCAUCAAGAUGUAAGGAAUGCACUUCAGGAAACAAAGCAGGAGCCCGUGGGGAAGAGAUAAAUAAAUAACACCAUGAACCAAAAUUGUGCACACGUAUUGCUGAGGGUCACACAACAAAGCACAACACAACUCAUCCACUCUGAGCUUUUACAAAGUCUGUCUAUUGAGAUUUCUCAUUUUUUCCCAAUCUUAAAUUCAGUUCACCUCAUUCCUGUAUACAUCUGCAUUUUUUUAACAAAAGAAAAG